GACGAACGCUGGCGGCGUGCCUCAUACAUGCAAGUCGAACGAGAGCGACUGGUGCUUGCACUGGUCAAUCUAGUGGCGAACGGGUGAGUAACACGUGGGUAACCUGCCCAUCAGAGGGGGAUAACAUCCGGAAACGGAUGCUAAAACCGCAUAGGUCUUCGAGCCGCAUGGCUUGAAGAGGAAAAGAGGCGCAAGCUUCUGCUGAUGGAUGGACCCGCGGUGCAUUAGCUAGUUGGUGAGGUAACGGCUCACCAAGGCCGUGAUGCAUAGCCGACCUGAGAGGGUGAUCGGCCACAUUGGGACUGAGACACGGCCCAAACUCCUACGGGAGGCAGCAGUAGGGAAUCUUCCGCAAUGGACGCAAGUCUGACGGAGCAACGCCGCGUGAGUGAAGAAGGUUUUCGAGAUCGUAAAACUCUGUUGUUAGAGAAGAACAGAUGCUAGAGUAACUGUUGAGCGCUCUGGAACGUGUAUCUAUACCAGAAAGCC
rnacentral:rRNA from 1 species